rnacentral:misc_RNA from 1 species
GGUAGUAAAAGUCGUAACAAGGUUUCCGUAGGUGAACCUGCGGAAGGAUCAUUACUGAGUGAGGGCCCCUCGGGGUCCAACCUCCCACCCGUGUUUAACGAACCUUGUUGCUUCGGCGGGCCCGCCUCACGGCCGCCGGGGGGCAUUUGCCCCCGGGCCCGCGCCCGCCGAAGCCACCUGUGAACGCUGUCUGAAGUAUGCAGUCUGAGACAAUUAUUAAAUUAAUUAAAACUUUCAACAACGGAUCUCUUGGUUCCG